AUAAUGGGUCAGCGACUUAUAUUCUGUAGCAAGGUUAACCGAAUAGGGGAGCCGAAGGGAAACCGAGUCUUAACUGGGCGUUAAGUUGCAGGGUAUAGACCCGAAACCCGGUGAUCUAGCCAUGGGCAGGUUGAAGGUUGGGUAACACUAACUGGAGGACCGAACCGACUAAUGUUGAAAAAUUAGCGGAUGACUUGUGGCUGGGGGUGAAAGGCCAAUCAAACCGGGAGAUAGCUGGUUCUCCC
rnacentral:rRNA from 1 species